rnacentral:rRNA from 1 species
CAGUCGCCGCGGGAAUACGUAGGGUGCAAGCGUUAAUCGGAAUUACUGGGCGUAAAGCGUGCGCAGGCGGUUUGUUAAGACAGAUGUGAAAUCCCCGGGCUCAACCUGGGAACUGCAUUUGUGACUGGCAAGCUAGAGUAUGGCAGAGGGGGGUGGAAUUCCGCGUGUAGCAGUGAAAUGCGUAGAUAUGCGGAGGAACACCGAUGGCGAAGGCAGCCCCCUGGGCCAAUACUGACGCUCAUGCACGAAAGCGUGGGGAGCAAACAGGAUUAGAUACCCCGGUAGUCCCUGUCUCUUAUAC